GAUGAACGCUGGCGGCGUGCCUAAUACAUGCAAGUCGAGCGAACAGACGAGGAGCUUGCUCCUCUGACGUUAGCGGCGGACGGGUGAGUAACACGUGGAUAACCUACCUAUAAGACUGGGAUAACUUCGGGAAACCGGAGCUAAUACCGGAUAAUAUAUUGAACCGCAUGGUUCAAUAGUGAAAGACGGUUUUGCUGUCACUUAUAGAUGGAUCCGCGCCGCAUUAGCUAGUUGGUAAGGUAACGGCUUACCAAGGCAACGAUGCGUAGCCGACCUGAGAGGAUGAUCGGCAACACUGGAACUGAGACACGGUCAAGACUCCUACGGGAGGCAGCAGUAGGGAAUCUUCCGCAAUGGGCGAAAGCCUGACGGAGCAACGCCGCGUGAGUGAUGAAGGUCUUCGGAUCGUAAAACUCUGUUAUUAGGGAAGAACAAAUGUGUAAGUAACUAUGCACGUCUUGACGGUACCUAAUCAGAAAGCCACGGCUAACUACGUG
rnacentral:rRNA from 1 species